GACGGAGGAUGCAAGCGUUAUCCGGAAUGAUUGGGCGUAAAGCGUCCGCAGGUGGCAGUUCAAGUCUGCUGUCAAAGACCGGGGCUUAACUUCGGAAAGGCAGUGGAAACUGAACAGCUAGAGUACUGGAGAGGGAACUGGAAUUUACGGUGUAGCAGUGAAAUGCGUAGAGAUCGUAAGGAAGGCCAGUGGCGAAGGCGAGUUCCUGGACAGUUACUGACGCUGAGGCACGAAGGCCAGGGGAGCAAACGGG
rnacentral:rRNA from 1 species